AUAUGGUGUCUGUGCCUCUGUACUCACAUUAUUACAUUCAAGAUGCCUAGACACUACACAUGACUAUCAGCCCUCACUUCUCUCUGUCUUUCUCUGGCAAUCUAAGGUCAAUCCGAAAUUAAUCCGGGUACUUGUGAAGUGGUGGCGGCUCAUCGUUGCUGUAAUAAGAAUAAAAUCGAGGAGAGAUCUCAGACGGUCAAGUGCUCCUGUCUGCCUGGACAGGUUGCUGGGACGACCCACACUCAACCCUCGUGUGUGGAUGAUGAAUGCUCAACCACGCCCUCAUCGCCACAUACUCUCACCGACCCAACUCAGGCCAGGGAGCCAUCCGGCCUGCCUACAACACUCCCCCACCCCCCCAUUUCUGGAGAGGAAAUCUGCGACAGCCAUCUGCGCCCCUGGCCUGUGGACCACCUCGAACUUAAAAGGCCGUAACGCCAGAUACCAACGGGUGAUCCAUGCAUUUGUAUCCUUCAUGCGGUGGAGCCAUUGGAGCGGCGUGUAAUCCAAACAGAGAGUGAAGGCCUGCCCCAACAGCUUCUAUCGUACGGAUGAAAUGGUGGUGUCAAAUGGAGCCAUGCCUAAAUGGUGAAGAGUGUAAGGUGUUGCCUGACCUCACUGGUUGGUCCUGCAGUUCUGGG